rnacentral:rRNA from 1 species
AGAGUUUGAUCCUGGCUCAGAACGAACGCUGGCGGCAUGCCUAACACAUGCAAGUCGAACGCCCCGCAAGGGGAGUGGCGGACGGGUGAGUAACACGUGGGAACCUGCCCAAUGGUCUGGAAUAACCGCGGGAAACUGCGGCUAAUACCGGAUAAGCCCGAGAGGGGAAAGAUUUAUCGCCGAUGGAGGGGCCCGCGUCCGAUUAGGUAGUUGGUGGGGUAACGGCCUACCAAGCCUACGAUCGGUAGCUGGUCUGAGAGGAUGAUCAGCCACACUGGGACUGAGAUACGGCCCAGACUCCUACGGGAGGCAGCAGUGGGGAAUAUUGGACAAUGGGGGCAACCCUGAUCCAGCAAUGCCGCGUGAGUGAUGAAGGCCUUAGGGUUGUAAAGCUCUUUUGGCGGGGACGAUGAUGACGGUACCCGCAGAAUAAGCCCCGGCUAACUUCGUGCCAGCAGCCGCGGUAAUACGAAGGGGGCGAGCGUUGUUCGGAAUUACUGGGCGUAAAGGGCGCGUAGGCGGCGAUCCGAGUCAGAUGUGAAAGUCCUGGGCCUAACCUGGGGACUGCAUUUGAUACUGGAUUGCUUGAAUUCGGGAGAGGAUAGCGGAAUUCCCAGUGUAGAGGUGAAAUUCGUAGAUAUUGGGAAGAACACCGGUGGCGAAGGCGGCUAUCUGGACCGACAUUGACGCUGAGGCGCGAAAGCGUGGGGAGCAAACAGGAUUAGAUACCCUAGUAGUCC